UACGAAGGGGGCUAGCGUUACUCGGAUUGACUGGGCGUAAAGGGCGCGUAGGCGGCUUGUACAGUCAGACGUGAAAUUCCUGGGCUCAACCUGGGGGCUGCGUUUGAUACGUGCGGGCUUGAGUUCGGAAGAGGGUCGUGGAAUUCCCAGUGUAGAGGUGAAAUUCGUAGAUAUUGGGAAGAACACCGGUGGCGAAGGCGGCGACCUGGUCCGAUACUGACGCUGAGGCGCGAAAGCGUGGGGAGCGAACAGG
rnacentral:rRNA from 1 species